rnacentral:rRNA from 1 species
CUUGAGGCGUGGCUUCCGGAGCUAACGCGUUAAGUAGACCGCCUGGGGAGUACGGCCGCAAGGUUAAAACUCAAAUGAAUUGACGGGGGCCCGCACAAGCGGUGGAGCAUGUGGUUUAAUUCGAUGCAACGCGAAGAACCUUACCUGGUCUUGACAUCCACAGAACUUUCCAGAGAUGGAUUGGUGCCUUCGGGAACUGUGAGACAGGUGCUGCAUGGCUGUCGUCAGCUCGUGUUGUGAAAUGUUGGGUUAAGUCCCGCAACGAGCGCAACCCUUAUCCUUUGUUGCCAGCGAUUAGGUCGGGAACUCAAAGGAGACUGCCAGUGAUAAACUGGAGGAAGGUGGGGAUGACGUCAAGUCAUCAUGGCCCUUACGACCAGGGCUACACACGUGCUACAAUGGCGCAUACAAAGAGAAGCGACCUCGCGAGAGCAAGCGGACCUCAUAAAGUGCGUCGUAGUCCGGAUUGGAGUCUGCAACUCGACUCCAUGAAGUCGGAAUCGCUAGUAAUCGUGGAUCAGAAUGCCACGGUGAAUACGUUCCCGGGCCUUGUACACACCGCCCGUCACACCAUGGGAGUGGGUUGCAAAAGAAGUAGGUAGCUUAACCUUCGGGAGGGCGCUUACCACUUUGUGAUUCAUGACUGGGGUGAAGUCGUAACAAGGUAACCGUAGGGGAACCUGCGGUUGGA